AAGUGUACAUUGUGUUACCUACGUGAAUAAAUGAUUUUUGAAUUUGAAUUUGAAUUUACUCCUGAAAACAAUGGAUGGACGUUUGAAGAUAACCAGUAUCAUUUUUAUUGGUUUGAUGGUGACCAAUUACCAGGACUCGUUAGCGAAUCACUUCAAGAAUCAGAAGAUGCUACCAGCAACAACAAUAUAACUAGUGAUGAUGAGGAUGAUGACUUGAGUGGACAGUAUCGUGAUGUACUUAAUGAUGAAAACUCAAAUGAUUAUGGCGAUGAUGAAGAUGAUUAAGAGACUGAUGAUUUGAGCCAGAUAAAACAAACUGCCGAAAUCAUUAAGGCAGGAAACAUAAAAGUUAAUAGUAUAAUCAGCGAAUUAGGUAAAAUCCAAAAAAGGACAGCAGAGUCAACAAAAACGUCAAUUGCAACGACACCAUCAACGUCAUCAGAAUCACAUGAUUCACAAAUACCAAAGGAACCUUUUGGAGAUGAAACAACACCGGAAUUACAUGAAGCUAUCGACAACGAAAGAAUUGAUAGCGAAGUGAUAGAAACAUUACAAUCGCCAAGGACUCAAACCUCACAGAUGCAGCCUACUAAAGCAAAAAAUAGCCGUCGUCGCUCAGUACCUAAUACAGCCGAGCAGCAAAUGGCUACAGCAUUCGGUCAAUUGACUAAUGUUUUAGGACAACGUCAAUCACAUACUGCAAUUAAAGAAGAUGAUGACUGCGAUCUCUACGCCAAGCUUUUGGCUACAA